UAUGACUCUUAGACGAUGGGAGAGUUGAU
rnacentral:piRNA from 1 species